rnacentral:rRNA from 1 species
UGCCUAAUACAUGCAAGUCGAGCGAACAGACGAGGAGCUUGCUCCUCUGACGUUAGCGGCGGACGGGUGAGUAACACGUGGAUAACCUACCUAUAAGACUGGGAUAACUUCGGGAAACCGGAGCUAAUACCGGAUAAUAUAUUGAACCGCAUGGUUCAAUAGUGAAAGACGGUUUUGCUGUCACUUAUAGAUGGAUCCGCGCCGCAUUAGCUAGUUGGUAAGGUAACGGCUUACCAAGGCAACGAUGCGUAGCCGACCUGAGAGGGUGAUCGGCCACACUGGAACUGAGACACGGUCCAGACUCCUACGGGAGGCAGCAGUAGGGAAUCUUCCGCAAUGGGCGAAAGCCUGACGGAGCAACGCCGCGUGAGUGAUGAAGGUCUUCGGAUCGUAAAACUCUGUUAUUAGGGAAGAACAAAUGUGUAAGUAACUAUGCAC